UACGUAGGGUCCAAGCGUUGUCCGGAUUUAUUGGGCGUAAAGAGCUCGUAGGCGGUUCGGUAAGUCGGAUGUGAAAACUCAGGGCUCAACCCGGAGACGCCAUCCGAUACUGCUGUGACUUGAGUCUGGUAGGGGAACACGGAAUUCCUGGUGUAGCGGUGAAAUGCGCAGAUAUCAGGAGGAACACCGAUGGCGAAGGCAGUGUUCUGGGCCAGUACUGACGCUGAGGAGCGAAAGCGUGGGGAGCAAACAGG
rnacentral:rRNA from 1 species